GGACUUAGCGUUGCUAAGGCCGAUGGCGACCGGCGCACGGGUGAGUAACACGUAUCCAACCUGCCGUCUACUCUUGGACAGCCUUCUGAAAGGAAGAUUAAUACAAGAUGGCAUCAUGAGUCCGCAUGUUCACAUGAUUAAAGGUAUUCCGGUAGACGAUGGGGAUGCGUUCCAUUACAUAGUAGGCGGGGUAACGGCCCACCUAGUCUUCGAUGGAUAGGGGUUCUGAGAGGAAGGUCCCCCACAUUGGAACUGAGACACGGUCCAAACUCCUACGGGAGGCAGCAGUGAGGAAUAUUGGUCAAUGGGCGAGAGCCUGAACCAGCCAAGUAGCGUGAAGGAUGACUGCCCUAUGGGUUGUAAACUUCUUUUAUAAAGGAAUAAAGUCGGGUAUGGAUACCCGUUUGCAUGGACUUUAUGAAUAAGGAUCGGCUAACUCCGUGCCAGCAGCCGCGGUAAUACGGAGGAUCCGAGCGUUAUCCGGAUUUAUUGCUUUUAAAGGGACCGUAGAUGGAUGUUUAAGUCAGUUGUGAAAGUUUGCGGAUCAACCGUAAAAUUGCAGUAGAUACUGGAUAUCUUGAGUGCAGUUGAGGCAGGCGGAAUUCGUGGUGUAGCGGUGAAAUGCUUAGAUAUCACGAAGAACUCCGAUUGCGAAGGCAGCCUGCUAAGCUGCAACUGACAUUGAGGCUCGAAAGUGUGGGUAUCAAACAGGAUUAGAUACCCUGGUAGUCCACACGGUAAACGAUGAAUACUCGCUGUUUGCGAUAUACAGCAAGCGGCCAAGCGAAAGCGUUAAGUAUUCCACCUGGGGAGUACGCCGGCAACGGUGAAACUCAAAGGAAUUGACGGGGGCCCGCACAAGCGGAGGAACAUGUGGUUUAAUUCGAUGAUACGCGAGGAACCUUACCCGGGCUUAAAUUGCAGAUGAAUUACGGUGAAAGCCGUAAGCCGCAAGGCAUCUGUGAAGGUGCUGCAUGGUUGUCGUCAGCUCGUGCCGUGAGGUGUCGGCUUAAGUGCCAUAACGAGCGCAACCCUUGUUGUCAGUUACUAACAGGUUCCGCUGAGGACUCUGACAAGACUGCCAUCGUAAGAUGUGAGGAAGGUGGGGAUGACGUCAAAUCAGCACGGCCCUUACGUCCGGGGCUACACACGUGUUACAAUGGGGGGUACAGAGGGCCGCUACCACGCGAGUGGAUGCCAAUCCCAAAAACCUCUCUCAGUUCGGACUGGAGUCUGCAACCCGACUCCACGAAGCUGGAUUCGCUAGUAAUCGCGCAUCAGCCACGGCGCGGUGAAUACGUUCCCGGGCCUUGUACACACCACCC
rnacentral:rRNA from 1 species